UUGGCAGUCGUCUGAAGCAGGGACUAUUAAAAAGUGUUACCGUAGUAAGGUCUUCCACCCAAGUGAGUAACCUGUUUGUCGGCAGCCUCACAAAAUAUAUCUCGCUACUUAAUCAUUACUGACAUUUGGAAGCAACAAGGCUUUAAUUAAUAGUUAUAUUGAUGAUGCAUAAAUCUCAAAAAUUAGUUUUGCUUUCCACUUAAUUAGCUACAUAAAACUAAUAAUUAGGGACAACAGAGAUACAUGCCCCUAAAUUACAGAAGAGGAAGAAAGCACCACAGUCCUCUUUCAGAAAAUAAACUACUGUGUUAAAACAAGUUAGUAAGCUCUGUAGGCAAUGUAAAUACUAACUUGGUCUGCGGUGGUAUCCAUCCCUCUUAAACGUUCUUCAGUGUUCCUUGGACUAUGAAACUGACAAGCUGACCGUUCAAAGCAAAGGUCCCGACUUUCAAGGAGUCUAGAAAGCUGCCCAGUGAGUUUGCCUCGUAAUCUCCUAGAACAAGUGCUGGAAGUCCUAAUCGUCGGGAAUUUUGCUUGAAUAAGGAAUAUAGCUUCCAAGGAGAGUCCACAGCCAAUUGCAAGGCUGGAGGGAAGAUUCAGAGCUUGGUGAGGCUGGUUAAAGGAAUUUCUUAAAGACUGAAGUGACAAUAUGCAACCUGCAAACCUAAAGCUUUGCAGGUGUUUUCGUUAUUUCUUUAUGUUGAGUAGAGUUAGCCCACAAAGAUGUCAUGUGCUGCCAGUGAAUGUAGAACCUAUUGGUUUGAGAGGAAGCAGUACACUUGCCCUGAGAGUCAUUUGACAGAGAGUGGUGUCAGUGCAGUAAUUACAAGGGCUGUCCCUGGUACCUCUGCUGCUUAUGCAGGCAGUACCUUUGAACUGCUUCACUGAAGGAGAAAUAAACCACCCUCAUUCCAAGCAAUUGGUCACUGUUGUUCAAAAUAAAACUUUUAAACUCUUUAAUAGGAAAAAAGCUUUUUUUAAAAAAAUAUAUAAAAUGGUAUAGUAUUUUUUCCAUUUACCGUUUGUAAGACAAUGCUCUGAAGAAAAACCUGUUGCUGCCCUUUUUAUAUGUGACUAUUCUCUGUGGAAGCAAACUAGUACAUCUGGUGCAUGUCUCCUUUGAAAGUUACACUGGAUAACCUGACAAAUAAGUUUGUUUAGUGCCCAGAUGGCCUGUCUACGUGAGCAUCGAAUUUGCUGAAUUGUGAAACUUGUGGACCUGCUGCCUGGUAAGUCUGGCACAUCCAGUGAGUCAGCCCAACGCUCCGUGCAUGCACGUGGAGUACAGCAUGGCUAGAACGUACCUAACUUGUGCAUAGCAGAGCACAGCACACGGACCACAGGACUGGGUCUGCGUACGCACAGCACUGCUGACCCAAAUACCUUGAAUCUGAAGGUUCCUGCUUUCAGUGGGGAAGCUCUUGUUUCUGCUGAAGCAUAAUUUCCACUUAGAAAAAGAGGACAUCUCCAGAGGAACUCCAGAUGUGUAAUACUCGUAAUGCAGCAAAUCAAAUGAACAAAUGCUGAAUUUCUUUAAGAAGUUCUAUAAGAAGUUCCAAUAGGAUUAUUAUAGCAAAAUAUGCAUGAUCAACAAAAUAAAAGUGCAACGCUGGGAAGAAAUCACGCUGUUGUAAUUAGUGAAUAUCCAAUUCCAGAAAAAUUGCAUUUAUUUGUUGCAAUUCACAAAGAGACUUUUCAAACUCAUUUAUAAUGUUUGCAUGAUAUAUUUUUAUGGUGAAACUUCCACCGUAGCAUUUUUUCAUAUAUAUUAGACGAUUAGGUUUAUUUUUGCAUUUUUCUGAACUUAUUUUUAAUUAUCUGUGGGUUUUUUAUUUUUUUUUCUAAUAUUUGUAGACAUUUGAGUAAGUCGAUCAGAGUGGGUGUUGCAUAUCUGUAAAAAUAUAUCUGGUGUUGACUAGUGUUGGUGUGAAAAAGAUACCUAAAAGAAUUCUCCACUUGAUCUGAGAGGCAUACUUUAGUUCUGUGCUUUAGCCCCAAUGGAUGUAAAAAUAGUUUUUCUUCUCUUUUAAAUCUUUCUUACCAGGACUGCUGUUUCGAUAAUAGGUUUGCAAGGUACAGGACAGAAUGCGAUCUCCUUCGAACGACUAGAAUUGUGUGGAGGCUUGUACGAAAUAACGUGCAGAUCAAGGCUUUAGAGAGGGGCAAAAUCACAAGACCUGCUGAUAUCAACAGAAACUAAGAAUUAAACUCUAGGUCCUCACUAGCUUCUGGAUGGUUAUAAUCAGGACAGUAACACCAAUAGAGAGGGUAAUGCUGCAGGUGAGGUGUAACUAGAUGAAAGAGCAUGUGAUGAGAGAUAAAUGGAGAAGAGAAGACAGAAAAGCUGGAAGAAAACUGAAGAAGGGAGGCUGAGAUACGGGAAGAGGUUAGUGACCAGACAGCUUUCCAGAACAAGCCUUUGUUUGAUCACUGAGAGUAAGUACUGCUGUCAGAAAUGCUGUUUCAAAUGGGGAGGUGACAGGAGCUGAGAAAGCUCAACUAACUGAUCUGACAUGAAAAAAAGGAGGGUGUGUUUGGAAGAAGUAAACUAACA